GUUGAGAUCAUCCUGAAGCUGAAGAUGAAGCAGGAAGGAAUUCAUCAUCCUGACCUGACUGUUACAAACGUCUGGUAAUACCCUCCUUCAGCCAAUCUAACUCAUCCUCAUGGGGUAAAGCUGAAGCUCUGGUGCCAGUGGGGCACCCCUCUGCCUAUCUACAAGGGGAACCUCUGCCGCUGCGGACUUUCUUGCCCUGUUUGUGUUAUUCUCACCAUUCAGUAGAACAAUAAUCUGACCACCAUAACUGAAUUUUCUGGGAGUUACAUGAACAAUCCCAAAGCAAUGCAGAUCAAACUGGCAGGAGAAGAGCAACUGGAAACUGGGUCUUAAGCAAGUGCUGCUGCUGAAGAAGGGGAUGGUAGCCAGGGACUGUCCGGUUGUGUCCUUUUCAUCUUGUGAAGGUUUCCUGAUGCUUGCAGUGGAGUCUAAAGAAAAAUAAGCUUUGAUCUCUGCCUCCUGAAGUGCAUUAUCACCAUUAGUAUAGUUCCAUGUGAAAAUAUUUGGAGUGUAAUGCUAUUGUCUUCAGUUCUGCUGUCUUUGGGAUGGUGGGAGCUUUGCUGUGUGUCUGUUUGUGAAGUCUUAUUUCAUGUCUGAACUGGUUAAGCGUGCUAAAAGCAAUAUAUAUAUUUAAAAGAAAAAAAAAAAAAGCUUUGAUUUUGCUUCUUCCCAUUGAUUUUUGACCCCAGAUUAUCUUUCUUCAUCAACAUUUCAGUCUGGUCAUUUUGAUACGUCUUUGGGAUUUAGAAGUGUCUGAAGCCUAAUUGUAGUGCUUCAAGUUUCUCACUUGUCUUGUGCUCAGCGUGUAGCUACCUUCCUUUAGACAACUGAAUUUAACAAAACAAAAGCUUAGAGAAGCUGAGUAUUUUAAUGGAAAAUCAUC